rnacentral:rRNA from 1 species
GAGGCAUGCUGGAGAUAUCAGAAGUGCGAAUGCUGACGUAAGUAACGAUAAAGGGGGUGAAAAGCCUCCUCGCCGGAAGACCAAGGGUUCCUGUCCAACGUUAAUCGGGGCAGGGUGAGUCGACCCCUAAGGUGAGGCCGAAAGGCGUAAUCGAUGGGAAGCAGGUUAAUAUUCCUGCACGACUUGUAAUUGCGAUGGGGGGACGGAGAAGGCUAGGUGGGCCAGGCGACGGUUGUCCUGGUGAAAGUGCGUAGGUGGUGUUUCUAGGCAAAUCCGGAGACACAACACUGAGACACGAGACGAACGCACUACGGUGCGGAAGCCAUUGAUGCCCUGCUUCCAGGAAAAGCCUCUAAGCUUCAGAUUACAAGUCAUCGUACCCCAAACCGACACAGGUGGUCGGGUAGAGAAUACCAAGG